GUAGGUGGCAAGCGUUGUCCGGAAUUAUUGGGCGUAAAGCGCGCGCAGGCGGUUCUUUAAGUCUGAUGUGAAAGCCCACGGCUCAACCGUGGAGGGUCAUUGGAAACUGGAGAACUUGAGUACAGAAGAGGAAAGCGGAAUUCCACGUGUAGCGGUGAAAUGCGUAGAGAUGUGGAGGAACACCAGUGGCGAAGGCGGCUUUCUGGUCUGUAACUGACGCUGAGGCGCGAAAGCGUGGGGAGCAAACAGGGAUUAGAUACCCUGGUAGUCCACGCCGUAAACGAUGAGUGCUAAGUGUUGGGGGGGUUUCCGCCCCCUUAGUGCUGCAGCUAACGCAUUAAGCACUCCGCCUGGGGAUACGGCCGCAAGGCUG
rnacentral:rRNA from 1 species